GAUGGGCACUAGUUGUGGGAACCUUCCACGGUUUCUGCGACGCAGCUAACGCAUUAAGUGCCCCGCCUGGGGAGUACGAUCGCAAGAUUAAAACUCAAAGGAAUUGACGGGGCCCCGCACAAAGCAGCGGAGCAUGCGGCUUAAUUCGACGCAACGCGAAGAACCUUACCAAGGCUUGACAUAUACAGGAAUAUGGCAGAAAUGUCAUAGCCGCAAGGUCUGUAUACAGGUGGUGCAUGGUUGUCGUCAGCUCGUGUCGUGAGAUGUUGGGUUAAGUCCCGCAACGAGCGCAACCCUCGUUCUGUGUUGCCAGCAUUUAGUUGGGGACUCACAGGAGACUGCCGGGGUCAACUCGGAGGAAGGUGGGGAUGACGUCAAAUCAUCAUGCCCCUUAUGUCUUGGGCUGCACGCAUGCUACAAUGGCUGGUACAAAGGGCUGCAAUACUGCAAAGUGGAGCGAAUCCCAAAAAGCCAGUCUCAGUUCGGAUUGGGGUCUGCAACUCGACCCCAUGGAGUCGGAGUUGCUAGUAAUCGUAGAUCAGCAACGCUACGGUGAAUACGUUCCCGGGGCUUGUACACACCGCCCGUCACAUCACGAAAGUCGGUAACACCCGAA
rnacentral:rRNA from 1 species